GGCAGGCCUAACACAUGCAAGUCGAGCGGCAGCGGGAAGAUAGUUUACUAUCUUUGCCGGCGAGCGGCGGACGGGUGAGUAAUGCCUAGGGAUCUGCCCAGUCGAGGGGGAUAACAGUUGGAAACGACUGCUAAUACCGCAUACGCCCUACGGGGGAAAGGAGGGGACCUUCGGGCCUUCCGCGAUUGGAUGAACCUAGGUGGGAUUAGCUAGUUGGUGAGGUAAUGGCUCACCAAGGCGACGAUCCCUAGCUGUUCUGAGAGGAUGAUCAGCCACACUGGGACUGAGACACGGCCCAGACUCCUACGGGAGGCAGCAGUGGGGAAUAUUGCACAAUGGGGGAAACCCUGAUGCAGCCAUGCCGCGUGUGUGAAGAAGGCCUUCGGGUUGUAAAGCACUUUCAGUAGGGAGGAAAGGUAGCAGCUUAAUACGCUGUUGCUGUGACGUUACCUACAGAAGAAGGACCGGCUAACUCCGUGCCAGCAGCCGCGGUAAUACGGAGGGUCCGAGCGUUAAUCGGAAUUACUGGGCGUAAAGCGUGCGCAGGCGGUUUGUUAAGCGAGAUGUGAAAGCCCCGGGCUCAACCUGGGAAUUGCAUUUCGAACUGGCGAACUAGAGUCUUGUAGAGGGGGGUAGAAUUCCAGGUGUAGCGGUGAAAUGCGUAGAGAUCUGGAGGAAUACCGGUGGCGAAGGCGGCCCCC
rnacentral:rRNA from 1 species